rnacentral:rRNA from 1 species
AGAAUCAACGCUGGCGGCGUGCCUAACACAUGCAAGUCGAACGAGAAAGUGGUAGCAAUACCAUGAGUAAAGUGGCGCACGGGUGAGUAACACGUGACUAACCUACCCUGGAGUGGGGGGUAACUGAGGGAACCUUAGCUAAUACCGCAUAACGCCUACGGGUCAAAGGAGCAAUUCGCUUCAGGAGGGGGUCGCGGCAGAUUAGCUAGUUGGCGGGUAAUGGCCCACCAAGGCAGUGAUCUGUA